rnacentral:rRNA from 1 species
AGUGAACGCUGGCGGUAGGCCUAACACAUGCAAGUCGAACGGCAGCACAGUAAGAGCUUGCUCUUACGGGUGGCGAGUGGCGGACGGGUGAGGAAUACAUCGGAAUCUACUUUUUCGUGGGGGAUAACGGAGGGAAACUUACGCUAAUACCUCAUACGACCUACGGCUGAAAUCAGGGGAUCUUCGGACCUUGCGCGAUUGAAUGAGCCGAUGUCGGAUUAGCUAGUUGGCGGGGUAAAGGCCAACCAAGGCGACGAUCCGUAGCUGGUCUGGGAGGAUGGCCACCACAAUGGGACCGGGAAACCGGCCAAGACUCCUACGGGAGGAACAAGUGGGGAACAUUGGCAAAGGGGGGCAAGCCUGCUGAAGACAUCCCGCGUGGGUGAAGAAGGCCUUCGGGUUGUAAACCCCUUUUGUUGGGAAAGAAAAGCAGCAGGUUAAUACCCCGCUGAUCUGACGGUAACCAAAGAAUAAGCAACGGCUAACUUCGUG